GUGAGCUUGCCGUUCAGCCAAAUGGGAGGACGCACGGUGCACCGCAUCCUGGCUGUGAGCGUUUGAUGAGCCAUGAGUGCAGGCAGCAUGUUCUACAAAAGGAUGGAUGGGGCCACUUAAGCCAGUGAGCCAGAAGCGUUGGUCUAAUGGAUGAUUUGUCCUUGAAGGUGAUUGAGGAAGACGCUGUCCGUGAAUAAUGAAACUCGGGUAAAUUGAUGAGAAGGGUCACAGGGCAUCACUUGAGUACUUCAGCAUCUGCUUGUGAAACCACACCAUGAAGAACCAGUCUUAGCAUUAGAAUACAAGCAGCAUCUGACCAGUCCACUACAGUCAUCAAACAACAGGAAGAAAAAGAUGACUGCCAAGCUUGUAAUUCUAGCACUCUGGAGUCCGAGGUUCACAGCCACUAGGAGAGGGGACUAAAGAAACAGCCAGUCUAGGCCUUGGUUGGGGCAGUGAGCAGCUGAUGGAAACUCUGCAUCUACAGAUGAGUAUCCCUUGUGUGCCGGGACUUUCCCUCACCAGCUAGUUCCCCUCCACCAGCAUGGCUCUUCCUCAGGAUACCACGCUUUGUGUCCAGCCUCCAGCCCUGCUGAGCACAUCCCACACAGAGUCCUUGUGAGAACUCAGUCCUAAAGGCUUUUCAACCUCUGCACCCUCGAGCCCAUCCAUCACUACUAGCAUCCCUGUCUUGUACCCAGCUUCCCAUGUGCUCUCCCACGGGAAGGGACAGUAAAAGCUUCAUUUGCAACUCUUGGCUUCCUGACCUUCAGUCCUCGGCUCUAGCGGGCCACGGGACCUCUGACCCCUAGCCAAGCUUCCCUGAUCCAUGAUGCAUGGCCAGCGUCUUCAGAGACGACUAGGAGUCUCUCCUAUGACCAGCCACAGCUUGUGACUCCCCUAUUUGGCAUGUAAUCUCUUACAGAAAUCUGGAGACUCUACUCAUUCUCUCUUAACUCCCACCUUUAACCUCUGAACCAUUUCGGAGACACUUCCUGGUAUCUGCUCUGGUUUUGUUUGUUUGUUUGUUUGUUUGUUUGUUUGUUUGAUUUUGUUUUGUUGAGAUAGACUCUCCUGUAGACUAGGCUAGCCUCAAGCUUAGUAUUUAGCCAAGGAUAUCUCUGGAUUUCUGGUCUUCCUGAUUCUACUUCUUGAGUGCUAGAUCAUAGGCCCAGACCACCACACCCAGCUUAUGUGAUGUUCAGGACCGAUCCCAGGGCUCCGUGAGUGCUAGAUCCUCAACAGUUCCAGAUCCUCAGCCCUCCCUGACAUCUCUAGCAUCCACCUCUGCUUCGCCAUCACCAGUGUCCGAGUGGAAGCCCUUACUGCAGCUCUCCCCGGCCACUUCAAAAUAGCCAACCAGCAUACUGAGAGUGCCUUCCACACACCAAUCACCAGGCUCCUUAUUUUAGAGUCCAGAACUGCACGGCUUAAACCUGGUGAAUGGGUGAGAAGACAGAUCACAAACAGUUAACUGGAUAAAUGAGUCAAUGAGCAACCUACUAAACACAGAAAUAAGCAAGUGGCCGAGCAGGGUUGGUGUCAUGCCCCACGCUGGUUUAGAGCUCAACACGUUGUCCUGGCUGGCCUUGAAUUUUCAAUCUUCCUGUCUCUGCUUCCUGAGUACUGGGCUUGCAAGGCCAUCAAUGUUAGUCCCUCCCCGAAGGCCUGCAUCUAUGGAGUGGCGCUCACGAGUGUCUCCAUCUAAGUCUGUGUUUCUAAGUCCUUCUUCCAAGAACCAGCCCCAGAAGGUGUCUGCCUCCCCACCCCCACCUCUGACAACCAUCGAAAGCUUCACAGUAAAUUCAUGGCUGCCUGGCUGGGAAACAGGCGGCGGCAAUGGAAAGGAAGCGUGGAUUUGCAUAUUGAAU